CACUCCUCCUCCCAAAAUCCCCAAUUCCCUAAGACCCUAACCCUAAUUUUGCUUGGAGACAGCCACAGCCGGCGGCGUGUGUUGUGGCGUGGGCGGCGGGCGCGGCGUGCGGCGGCGGCGUCGCAGCGAGCCGGAGACCGCGCCAGCGCGGCUGCGCGGGAGCAGCACCACAGCAUGGAAGGGGCGGCCGCCGGCUGGGCGCACCGGCGGAGGCGCGAGCUGCGGCGCAGCGCCGGCAGCGGCCGUCGGCCAAGCAGGUAGUGGCACGUCGUCGACUCGGCGUCGCCGGCUCCAGCGACGGGCCGCGCGCCCACGCGGCGUGCUGUGGGCUGUGGCCUGUGUGCCCGUGUGGUGUGCUGGCGACGGCAUGGCCGUGUGGGUGGCUGGGCGCUGAGCCGCCUUCCUCCCCUUCCCGCCUUCCGCCGACGACCGAGGCCGCGAAGACGCCAACGGGCCACGCCGCCACCACACUGCCACAUACACACGGUGAAUCAAAAGCACGAAUUUUGAAUAAUUGCAAUGCAAAUUUUAGGAUUGGGAACUACAAUUGAUUGAUUUAGUAUACUUGCUUGGUUGCUUAGUUUGUAGAGGGUCUUUUCUUCAAUGAACUACAUCAAAAACAAGUUGAGAACCAAGAUGGGACAAAAAUGCUUGAAUGAUUGUUUGGUUACAUUCAUUGAAAGGGAAUUCUUUUUGCAAGCCAGGACAAGGACAUCAUCGAUUAUUUUCAAAAUAUCAAGCGUCGAAAAGUUAAUCUCUAAAUUGUCGAAAAAGACAUGGAUGGAUUGGAUCCAUUACGGAAAGCUGAUUUCCUGUUCAUAUCUGAGACGGACGUAAAUUUCUUUUGAAGGGUGCAUCAACUGGUUCAAUGGGAAUGCUUUGCUAGACAUAUCCUAACCGUUACGAUGCAAAGGUAAAGCAAUAUCAUGAGUCAAUCUUUUUUAUAUUUUGUCUUUCAGUUGGUUUGCUUUUACAUGUCUGUGCUCAGAGAGAUUAUUUCACUGUUUAGUUCACCAGACUAUUUUACACAUGUUUUUUCAUUAUUUGUGAAAGCACACUUUUAAAUCCUAAAAGUUGUGCAGUCGAUCUGUUUCGUCAAACUGUAGUGUAGCCUGCUGCCGUUGUGCUUUUACAAGCUCUUUGUUUCCACAUUGUAUAUUUUGCCUGCUACUUAAAAGGAACAGGGAAGAAAAAAAUGGAACCUACCUGAAGAAGUAUAUAUGCAUUGUAGAACUAUAAGGCUUAUGUUAUUGCAUCCAUACUUUGGUUAAUUGAUUAUGCAUGCUUUCGCUCAUAAACUUUGCCACGUGGUAGCAGCACUUUGUACUACUCCACUCCAAAAAAGCUAGAACUUUUGGUAGAAAAAUUGGUUUCAUGUGUUUAGAAUUGUGAUGCCAAACUGAAAAUAUUAUCUCUCUAUAUAAGUGGUUGAUACUAUACUGUUUUAGCUGUACUAACAUUACUAUUAAAAUUUUCUACUACCUUUGUCCCAAAAUGUAAAAACUUCUAGCCCUAUAUCUUGAAAGGUAUGUUUAGGUACACAGCUCAAAAUUGCGAUAUAUUUUGGGAUGGAGGUAGUAUAUUUUUUUUCAGGUGUACUGAUGUCACUAACUGCACAUAACGGAGGAUUGUUGUUGAGUAGUGCACUUGCAUGUUGCACUUAAAAAACAUCAUUUUCCAUCUGUUCAUUUUAGCUUUGCAUAUAUUUAAUAUGGACCACCAGUAGGCAUUUAGGUCUUCUGUUUUUAGCAUCCAAUAGUCCAAUGUGAUUCUAGCGUACAGAGGAAAAAGGGGUAGCAUUGAAACCUCUGUAAACUCAUUGAAAUUGGCAUGUAAUUUGCCCUUUUUUUCUAUUUAUUCAAACUUCCGAUACCUUUCGGUUUUCUCCUUUAGCCUAUACACUAUUUUUGUAUGUGCAAAUUUUUUUUAUAAGGGUAGUUUAUGGGAUAUAGACGAAAGCAUAAACCAAUGCUAUGGGUGAAUAGUAGAUGCAUAUUAUUCAUCGAACAUAUUGGACUUCAAUUGAUUCGGGCGGCGCAGCGUAGCGCGCUUCUAUUGCUA